rnacentral:rRNA from 1 species
GGCUUAGAAGCAGCCACUCAUUAAAAGAGUGCGUAAUAGCUCACUGGUCGAGUGAUUCUGCGCCGAAAAUUUAACGGGGCUAAACUAUACACCGAAGCUUAGGAUACCGCAAGGUAUGGUAGGAGAGCGUUCUGUACGGAGUGAAGUCGUAGCGAAAGCGGCGGUGGACUGUACAGAAGUGAGAAUGCCGGAAUAAGUAGCGAGAAUUAAGUGAGAAUCUUAAUGGCCGAAAGUCUAAGGUUUUUGGAGGAAGGUUCGUCCGCUCCAAGUAAGUCGGGAGCUAAGGUCAGGCCGAAAGGCGUAGCCGAUGCACAAACGGUUGAUAUUCCGUUACCGUCUACAAUUUAAACAAAGGGACACAUACAAAGCGUUUAACCCGGGCGAUGGUUGACCCGGGCGCAAGGGACUGAAAUAAGAGUAGGGAAGUAAAUGUGGCGUAUGGCGAGAAAAGCUUUGUGAAUAGAAGUAGACGCCCGUACCGCAAACCGACACAGGUGGACAGGAAGAGAAUUCUAAGGCCAGCGGGAGAAGGGUAGUUAAGGAACUCGGCAAAUUGACUCCGUAACUUCGGAAUAAGGAGUGCUCGAAAGAGCCGCAGAGAAUAGGCCCAGGCGACUGUUUAGCAAAAACACAGGUCUCUGCCAAAUCGAAAGAUGAAGUAUAGGGGCUGACACCUGCCCGGUGCCGGAAGGUUAAGAGGAGGAGUGCAAGCUCCGAAUUGAAGCCCCGGUAAACGGCGGCCGUAACUAUAACGGUCCUAAGGUAGCGAAAUUCCUUGUCAGGUAAGUUCUGACCCGCACGAAUGGCGUAAUGAUUUGGGCACUGUCUCAACAGCCCGCCCGGCGAAAUUGUAGUACUGGUGAAGAUGCCAGUUACCCGCAACUAGACGGAAAGACCCCAUGGAGCUUUACUGCAGCUUAAUACUGAAAUUCGGUAGUACAUGUACAGGAUAGGUGGGAGACUGAGAAAUACAGGCGUCAGCUUGUAUGGAGUCGCUGUUGGGAUACCACUCUUGUACUGCUGGAUUUCUAACCUGCGGCCGUGAAUCCGGUCGGGGGACACUGUUAGGCGGGCAGUUUGACUGGGGCGGUCGCCUCCCAAAAGGUAACGGAGGCGCUCAAAGGUUCGUUCAGCACGGACGGAAAUCGUGCAAUGAGUGUAAACGCAUAAACGAGCCUAACUGCGACACCGACGGGUGGAGCAGUAACGAAAGUUGGAGUUAGUGAUCCGGUGGUAUGUGAGUGGAAAUGCCAUCGCUCAACGGAUAAAAGUUACCCUGGGGAUAACAGGCUGAUCUCCCCCAAGAGUCCACAUCGACGGGGAGGUU